rnacentral:piRNA from 1 species
UGAAUGGAGGGUUGUUAAGCCACCCAGGUU